rnacentral:ncRNA from 2 species
UAAAAAAGCUAGGGGUGCUUUAAUAAGCUGAGAAAUACCCUUAAUACUUGAACUGGAUAAUACCAGCGUAAGGAAGCAUAGUAUAAACAAG